rnacentral:rRNA from 1 species
GGGCCCGCACAAGCGGUGGAGCAUGUGGUUUAAUUCGAUGAUACGCGAGGAACCUUACCAGGGCUUAAAUGUUAGGUGACAGAUCUAGAAAUAGAUUUUUCUUCGGACACUUAACAAGGUGCUGCAUGGUUGUCGUCAGCUCGUGCCGUGAGGUGUCAGGUUAAGUCCUAUAACGAGCGCAACCCCUGUUGUUAGUUGCCAGCGAGUAAUGUCGGGAACUCUAGCAAGACUGCCAGUGCAAACUGUGAGGAAGGUGGGGAUGACGUCAAAUCAUCACGGCCCUUACGUCCUGGGCUACACACGUGCUACAAUGGUAGGUACAGAGAGCAGCCAAUGCGCGAGCAUGAGCAAAUCCCUUAAAAACCGUUCGUAGUCCAGAUUGGAGUCUGCAACUCGACUCCAUGAAGUAGGAAUCGCUAGUAAUCG